rnacentral:misc_RNA from 1 species
UUUGAAAUGGAUUUUUCUAAAGCGGUGUCACAUCAUGUCAGAAAAUAUAGAAAUUACUUAAGAAAACACAAUUAAAUGGUGUUUUCUUAAGCGGUGUCUGAUACACUUGUAUUUACAAAUAUUUUAAGGUACUAUUGCAUUGUAUUUCAUAGCAUUUAGGUAGUUAAUUGCAUACAUUUCACUUAGUUUCGUUAGUUUUUGUUAGUUUCAAUAAUCUCUACUUAAUUUCAUAUUUUUUAUAUCUUUCAGGUGUUUUAAAGAAGAUUCAAGGCAUAGAAGUCAAUUGCACAAGUUUAGAAGACAGGAAAAGCUAGAAGGCCUGUUGCACAACAUUACACGAGUCGUGUAAGUAAGAGACUUGACCCUUGUAACCCUUUGGCAAUCAAAACCCAAAGAACCAUGGAGAGACCACAGUACACGAGCUGUGUGAAUAGCCCCGUGUAACUUGCUCACCCCUGUGUAACCUGCUAUCCUCCCUAAAAUGCGAAGUGUAAAGUAGUUUAGAGAAUUACACAGGGUAUGUACCUUACACCAGAUAGACUU